rnacentral:tRNA from 1 species
CGGAAUAGCUCAAUUGGUAGAGCAACUGACUUGUAAUCAGUAGGUUGUGGGUUCAAGUCCUACUUCCGGC